UCUGCCUUGACAGAGCAGUAUCAUACGAAGAUUUAGAAUUCUUAAUACUCGACAUAAGCUCUUUGCUUUCAGCUAGCAUAUUCUUAGCCUCAUCUUCAACUUUGUUCUUUUCACCUUCACAUCUUUCCAUCUUUUCCUUCAACUUGGUUCUUUUCAGCUCAUUACUUUUCUUUUGCUCAACAAGAAUUCUAAUCUUUUCGUCCAACUUUUCACCUUCUUCCGCGAGCCUCUUGUCUUCAUCCUCAAACCGACUCUUUUCUUUCUUCAUUGAUUUCUUCUGUUUCUUACCAUCUCUUAUUAGUUGCACAAGCUUUUCUCUUUUUUGCAAAGCAUUAAUGUGAUCCUCAACAGCAUUUUUAGUCAUGACAAAGUCAUCGAAAAGGUUAUGAAUAGAGGAUGCCAUUUUCUGGACAAGCUUCACAACAUUUGGAGAAACUUUUUCAUGGGUUGCUUGUUUUAUGCAUUCCAAAGACGUGCGUAACUGUUUUUGUAGCUCUACAUCACAGAGAAUGGACUCAAGUGAUUUUUCCAAUAGACAUUCAAGGUUAUGCAAAGCUUCUCUUACAGCAACAUCAUCGCUUGUGGAACAAGUUGCUUUUGGCGAGGACUCUGGACUUCCCUUCAGGAUCCUCUCAACUUCAGAAAAAAUGUCCUCGUCAGAUCCAUCUUCGGAUUUGCUAAGAUCCACCGGUGCCUUUUCUUUGCUUAUUGAACCAUUGGUGUCAGGAACAAUAACUUGUCCUCCUUGUAUAUUUGCUUUUCCUUUUGAUUGCUUGGUCUCAUCAUCAAUAUUGUCUUGCCAAUCAUAAUUGUUUUCACUUAACUUGUUAUCAGAUGCAUUUUCUUCGACCGCUGACAUUACCGGAAGAUGCAAUCCAGCUUCAGAUUCUGUUGGUCUUCCUUCAAUUCCUUUGCUUUCUAACUACACAAUGAAAAAGAAUUGGUCAAGGCAAGUGGAGCGAGUGUCUUCUAGAAAUUCAAUUACAACCGUAUUAUGUUUUAUUUGAUACAACAUUAGUCAUACUAGUUGGCUGGAUUAAUUAGUUUCUCAUUUGCUAUAUACUUUUCUUUCCUCCAUGAUUGUAGUGACUUACAACUUUUGCAGUGUUUGUAACAUUCUCUUCAUGACUGGUUCCAGCAUUGGUAUUGAUUUCCUUGUUGGAAGAUUCGAUUCUCUCUUCCACAUUAAAGAAGUGGCUUUUAUUCUCAUUAUUCUCUUCAAUUGAUUCUAGUUUAACAAAGAAAAAUUACAAGUAGGAGAAACAUAAGUUCAGCAAAAGAGAAUAUGAAUUGUUAAUAUGAUGAUACCAGGGAAAGGGAGUAAUUAAGAAGUUGCAAACCUUGUACAAUUGGCUUCAAGGUUAUCCUACGUCCUGAUUCUAAUUCCACUGCCUUCUUCAAAUCUUUUUUCUUUUGCGAAUCCAAUUCCAAUUCCGGCAAAACAGUCUCCAAUUCUGCAACACUUACUUGUCGUACCCCACACUCUUUAAUAUGAAUUGAACUAUCAACUUCCCCAGUAGUAUCGUUUGUAACAUAGAACUCAAAACAAAUUUUAGGUUGAUAAAAUUUGAGAAUGCUGUCACAAUGGAAUGGAUCAUACCACACAUAAGUAUGAUCUGAGUUUAGUUCUGUGACAUGAGUAUUUAGCCAGGAAGCCUUUAUACCUUCUUUUCCCAAGCUGCAUUGACACUUUAUUCGAGCUUCACCCUUCUUCAUUCCAUUUCCACCUGCUGGAGAAAGAACCACUGAGUAUAUAAAUCCAAGCAAGUUGGAACGUUCAGGAAGCAACGUAAUGGUAAUGGAGGAGUCAGCAGCUGUUUGACAUUUGAACAGCCUCGGGAUACUUGUUCCUGGUCGACAAGCAUCAACACUGUUAUAGUUGUAGCUGUGAACUUUCACACGGAGUCUUCUUACAGACACAUUUUGAAACACAGCACUCAUCAUUGUUAAAUUGAGAUUUUCCAUUAUAAGGCUGAGUGAAUGUCCAUCCAAAUUCAAGCUGUUACUGAAUGAAAUGUGUUUGGUUUUUCCCAUCAUCAUUGUUGCUAAUCCUUUUAGAUUUGACACUGAAACCAGGGAUGUGCAGUUCACUGCAUUUAACAGUGUG
rnacentral:lncRNA from 1 species